GACGAACGCUGGCGGCGUGCUUAACACAUGCAAGUCGAACGAUGAAGCCUAGCUUGCUAGGUGGAUUAGUGGCGAACGGGUGAGUAAUACGUGAGUAACCUACCUUUAACUCUGGGAUAAGCCCGGGAAACUGGGUCUAAUACCGGAUACGACCAAUCUCCGCAUGGGGUGUUGGUGGAAAGCGUUAUGUAGUGGUUAUAGAUGGGCUCACGGCCUAUCAGCUUGUUGGUGAGGUAACGGCUCACCAAGGCGACGACGGGUAGCCGGCCUGAGAGGGUGACCGGCCACACUGGGACUGAGACACGGCCCAGACUCCUACGGGAGGCAGCAGUGGGGAAUAUUGCACAAUGGGCGCAAGCCUGAUGCAGCGACGCCGCGUGAGGGAUGACGGCCUUCGGGUUGUAAACCUCUGUUAGCAGGGAAGAAGAGAGAUUGACGGUACCUGCAGAGAAAGCGCCGGCUAACUACGUGCCAGCAGCCGCGGUAAUACGUAGGGCGCGAGCGUUGUCCGGAAUUAUUGGGCGUAAAGAGCUUGUAGGCGGUUUGUCGCGUCUGCUGUGAAGGCCGGGGCUUAACUCCGUGUAUUGCAGUGGGUACGGGCAGACUAGAGUGCAGUAGGGGAGACUGGAAUUCCUGGUGUAGCGGUGGAAUGCGCAGAUAUCAGGAGGAACACCGAUGGCGAAGGCAGGUCUCUGGGCUGUAACUGACGCUGAGAAGCGAAAGCAUGGGGAGCGAACAGGAUUAGAUACCCUGGUAGUCCAUGCCGUGAACGUUGGGCACUAGGUGUGGGGAACAUUCCACGUUUUCCGCGCCGUAGCUAACGCAUUAAGUGCCCCGCCUGGGGAGUACGGCCGCAAGGCUAAAACUCAAAGAAAUUGACGGGGGCCCGCACAAGCGGCGGAGCAUGCGGAUUAAUUCGAUGCAACGCGAAGAACCUUACCAAGGCUUGACAUAUACUGGACCGCAUCAGAGAUGGUGUUUCCCUUCGGGGCUGGUAUACAGGUGGUGCAUGGUUGUCGUCAGCUCGUGUCGUGAGAUGUUGGGUUAAGUCCCGCAACGAGCGCAACCCUCGUUCUAUGUUGCCAGCACGUAAUGGUGGGGACUCAUAGGAGACUGCCGGGGUCAACUCGGAGGAAGGUGGGGAUGACGUCAAAUCAUCAUGCCCCUUAUGUCUUGGGCUUCACGCAUGCUACAAUGGCCGGUACAGAGGGUUGCGAUACUGUGAGGUGGAGCUAAUCCCUAAAAGCCGGUCUCAGUUCGGAUUGGGGUCUGCAACUCGACCCCAUGAAGUCGGAGUCGCUAGUAAUCGCAGAUCAGCAACGCUGCGGUGAAUACGUUCCCGGGCCU
rnacentral:rRNA from 1 species